GCACUGCUGAGGGGCCCCAUAACAGGACGAAACGGCCGUCCAGUAC
rnacentral:hammerhead_ribozyme from 1 species